AAAUUGAAGAGUUUGAUCAUGGCUCAGAUUGAACGCUGGCGGCAGGCCUAACACAUGCAAGUCGAACGGUAACAGGAAACAGCUUGCUGUUUCGCUGACGAGUGGCGGACGGGUGAGUAAUGUCUGGGGAACUGCCUGAUGGAGGGGGAUAACUACUGGAAACGGUAGCUAAUACCGCAUAAUGUCGCAAGACCAAAGAGGGGGACCUUAGGGCCUCUUGCCAUCGGAUGUGCCCAGAUGGGAUUAGCUAGUAGGUGGGGUAACGGCUCACCUAGGCGACGAUCCCUAGCUGGUCUGAGAGGAUGACCAGCCACACUGGAACUGAGACACGGUCCAGACUC
rnacentral:rRNA from 1 species